UACGUAGGUGGCAAGCGUUGUCCGGAUUUACUGGGUGUAGAGGGCGUGUAGCCGGGCUGACAAGUCAGAUGUGAAAUCCGGGGGCUCAACCCCCGAACUGCAUUUGAAACUGUUGGUCUUGAGUAUCGGAGAGGCAGGCGGAAUUCCUAGUGUAGCGGUGAAAUGCGUAGAUAUUAGGAGGAACACCAGUGGCGAAGGCGGCCUGCUGGACGACAACUGACGGUGAGGCGCGAAAGCGUGGGGAGCAAACAGG
rnacentral:rRNA from 1 species